AAUUUUGCUCAAUGGGCGCAAGCCUGAAGCAGCGACGCCGCGUGAAUGAUGAAGUCUUUCGGGAUGUAAAGUUCUGUCGACGGGGACAAUAAUGAUGGUACCCGUAGAGGAAGCACCGGCAAACUAUGUGCCAGCAGCCGCGGUAAUACAUAGGGUGCAAGCGUUAUCCGGAUUUACUGGGCGUAAAGCGUAUGUAGGCGGUAUUUUAAGUCAAACUUCAAAUCCCGGGGCUCAACCUCGGUUCGGGUUUGAUACUGAAAUACUAGAGUUUGGGAGAGGAAAGCGGAACUAACAGUGUAGCGGUGAAAUGCGUAGAUAUUGUUAGGAACACCCGUGGCGAAGGCGGCUUUCUGGAUCAACACUGACGCUGAGAUACGAAAGCGUGGGGAGCAA
rnacentral:rRNA from 1 species